AUUGAACGCUGGCGGCAGGCUUAACACAUGCAAGUCGAGCGGGGUGAUGGUGCUUGCACUAUCACUUAGCGGCGGACGGGUGAGUAAUGCUUAGGAAUCUGCCUAUUAGUGGGGGACAACAUCUCGAAAGGGAUGCUAAUACCGCAUACGCCCUACAGGAGAAAGCAGGGGAUCACUUGUGACCUUGCGCUAAUAGAUGAGCCUAAGUCGGAUUAGCUAGUUGGUGGGGUAAAGGCCUACCAAGGCGACGAUCUGUAGCGGGUCUGAGAGGAUGAGCCGCCACACUGGGACUGAGACACGGCCCAGACUCCUACGGGAGGCAGCAGUGGGGAAUAUUGGACAAUGGGGGGAACCCUGAUCCAGCCAUGCCGCGUGUGUGAAGAAGGCCUUAUGGUUGUAAAGCACUUUAAGCGAGGAGGAGGCUCUUUUGGUUAAUACCCAAGAUGAGUGGACGUUACUCGCAGAAUAAGCACCGGCUAACUCUGUGCCAGCCGCCGCCGUAA
rnacentral:rRNA from 1 species